CAUAUAUAAAUGUAUAUAAUGAGAGGGUACAGGGAAGAUUUUGUUACAUGUGUAUUCUGAGUAAUGAUCAAAUUGGGUUAUUUAGCGUCUCUUCACCUGGUAUAGUUAUGAUAUUUUUGUGUGGUAGCAACAUUCAGAAUAUUUUCUUCUAGCUACUUUGAGACAUAUACAUUUGUGUUAAGGCCAGUCACCCUGCUGUGGAAUAGAAGACCAGAAUUGAUUGCUGUCAUCUGAGGAAAGUUUUUACCCAUUACUGAUUCCUUCCCAGACCCUCUCCAUUUUCCCAGCAACCUCUAGUAACCCCUAUUGAACUUUCUGCUCCUAGGAGUUGAAGAUGUUUUCAGUCUGCAUGCCUAGGAUCAUGUGGAAUGGGACUUUCUCUACCAGGCUCAUUCGUUGGACCUGAUGUUCUACAGGUUUCUUCAUGUGGCUGCAGAUGGCAGGAUUCCCAGAGCUUCAUGGCUGGAACAUACUCCAUGGUGUAUCUGUACAGCAGUUUUUCAUCCCUGCAGCUGCGGGUGGACAGGUCAUACAUGAUGUCCUCCAAGUUCAACAGCGUGGCUCCAAAUGAUGACAUUUCAUUCCAGUUUUCUAGCUGAAGACGAUUCUAUUUGUGCACAUACACCAGGUAUCCCUUCAUGUGUGGAUGGGCAGGUUUUUCCACGUGGCCGCAAGUGACGAGAUUUCACCCAUUUCUACGAUUAAAGAAUAUUCUGCUCUGGAUGUAUAUUGCAGUUUCUUCAUCCCUUCACAAUGGAAGAACAGGUAGGUGUAUUUCCUAUCUUGGCUAUCGUGAGUCCUGCAGUACGGAGGGUAAGGCAGGUAUCUCUUCCACGUAGGAAUGGAAUGAUGGCUGGAUGAAAUGGGCAUUUUUACUUCGUUGGAGGCACUUCCAGCUGUUUUUCGUAGUGUGUGUAGACACUGACAUUCCCACCAAUAGUGUAUGAGAAGAGUUUCCCCUUCUGAAAGUCUGUACUAGUUGUUUCCUUUUAAAGUUUUCUUUCUGUUUUAGGUAGCAUUCAUUCGAUGUGGAUGGAAGCGGCAUCUCAGUGCAGGUUUCCUUGACAUUCUUGUGAGGAUUAGCGCUUUUGAGAGACUUUUCUUUUACCUGUGAGUCAGUUUCCCAUCUGCUUCGCAGACACGUCUGUUCAGGUCCUUUGCCCAGACUUAGCUUGGGUGUUUGUUUUUGUUUCCCCCACAUGGUAGUGUUAGUGUCUUUCACAGAUUUUAUAACGACCCCUUUCAAAGACAGAAUUUCCAUAGUUUUCUUUCAGUCUGUGAGGCACCUUCUCUUCUGUUCACUGUUUUCUUUUCACAGCAUAAGAUCUGAUGUUUUCCGUAGUUCCACCUGUUUACAUAUUAGUGGUGACUUCCGUGUGCAGUUAAAAACAGUGAAAAAGAUUGCCAAUCCAUGGCAUUGGCUAUGUUUUUUUCCUUCUAAUUUUCUUUUUCUUUUUAUAUUUCACAUUUUGCAACUUGUGUGCAUAGAUUAGUUUUCUAAACUAUGUGCUUACCUGUUGUUUCCUGAGGGAAGGAAAUGGUUUCAAGAUUGAGUUUAGGUCUUUCAUGUAAUUUACAUCGAUUUUUGUCCUAUUUCAGUGUUUUUCUUGUGGUUAUCCAGUUUGCUCAAAAUCAUUUAUUCUUUUCCCAUUGUGUCUAUUUGUGUUGUGUUGAAAAAUGUGUUCAGUGUACAUUCAUUUGGGUGGCAUGUGGGACUCCCUCAUUCUGUCCGUUGGGUAGCCUUUCUGUUUUUAUGCCAGUGGCAGGUUGUUUGGGUAAAUAGAGGUUUUCGUUAUUUUAUCAUUAUGCUCACUCAGUGCCUUUAGUGUCUUGCAUAUGUUAGAAAACAGUUCUUUUCAGAUACAUGAUUUUCUAUAAUUUUAUCCAAAUCUGUAGGGUGCCUUUUUUUUGGGUUCACCGUUUUCUCCUUGUUUAUAAAUUUUAAAGUUCCUUUGUCUAACCUGUUUAUAUUUGCUUUUGUUAGCAGGGAUUUUUGUUUCCCAUUGGGAAAUAAAGCGAGCGAGAUGGCGAAAAUGUUGUAUUAUUUAUGGGUAUAUUCUUCCUAAUUUUUCCUGUCUGCAGCUGGUGUACACAGAUUCAAGUUUUCCCAAAAUAGACACUCACCCUAUGUAUUUUCCUGAGAGCUUGUUAAGUUUCAGGAUUAAACUUAGGUGCUGAGUUGGUUUUGUGUUGAUGUUUGUGUUCUUGUGCAACGUAAGGGUCUCACUUCAGUCCUCUGCACGUGAAUACCCAGGUUUCUCAACCUGGGUGCCUUUGGUGUGUUUCUGAAAAAUGUGUUUAUAUCAUUUUGGUCUGAUUGUCUGGCUCCUUCAUUUGGUCCAUUUGGUUACCUUUCUGUGUUUAUGUCACUAAUGGAUGGAAAGGGUCAGGGUAAGUUUUGUUUUCUUUUUUCUUUUUCUGUAGCUUUCCACCUUAAUUUGGUAAAAGAGUACCUACAUUUACUUCGAUUAACAAUAUUGUGCACACAGUACUACUAGUCCGGUGGUUCAUCAGUUGAUCAUCUAUCUCAACUGGGGUAAAUGUUAGUGAAGUGAUAGAAAUAACAAAGACAUUUAUCAAAAGAGGGCUCUCAUGCACAAAUAAGUUCCAGUAUCAAAAAUUCAGUAGGCUGGGCACAGUGACUCACACCUAUAAUCCCAGCACUUUGGGAGGCCGAGGUAGGCAAAUCACCUGAAGUUAGGAGUUUGAGACCAGCCGGGUCAACAUGGUGAAACCCCAUUUCUACUAAAAAUUGAAAUAUGAGCCGGGCGUGGUGGCACACACCUGUAAUCCCAGCUAUUCAAGAGCUGAGGCUGGAGGAUAGCUUUAACCCGGGAGGCGGAGGUUGCAAUGAGCCGAGAUUGUGCCAUUGCACUCCAGCCUGUACAGAGUGAGACCCCAUCUCAAAAAAAAUAAAUAAAUAAUUCAGUAAACAAAUGUGACUUAAACUAUAUAAGAGUUAUAAAAUGGUUAAAAAAUCCCCCCCCCAAAUUUUGGAAGGACAUAUAAGAGUGAUAUAAGAUCACUAACUAGAUUGAGACACAUAGAAUACUACAGACAAAUAGGACAUAGGGAUAUAAAAGUAAAAGGUAUCAGUGAUAGAGUUGGUAAGAAAAAAAAAAAAAAACAGUAAUACUUGACUUACUAAGAAAUUUGUCUAGGGUUUGGCUGUUUUUCAACUGUGGGAAAAUCCCAAAAGCCAGGUGCAGUGGUGCACAACUGUAGUCCCAAAUACUCCAGAAGUUGAGGCAGGAAGAUUCCUUGAGCCAGGAAUUCAAGGCUGUAGUGUGAAACAUGGUGCCGGUGAGUCGCCACUCUCUCACUUCAGCCUGGGCAACAUAGCAUGACUGUGUCUCUCAGAAAGAUUACAGCAAUUAUAAAACAUUUGUUUCAGCGGAAAUGUAACUUUUUUGUGUCUCAUUAUUUAAAAAAUUCAGUCAGUGCACUUUAACUUAUAAUUCUGAUGGUGUUUUUAUGAUCUUAACACCCAGAAAAGUAAUAGAGGCCCAUGCUGAAUGAGGCCUCAGCCUUCUAUCUUUACCUGGGUUCAUGUCCCAGCAUAUGAUAGAAGAGCAAAUCUAAUGCUUUUAAGAAAGCGUUGCAGCAGCUAAAAGAGAACAAAUUAAAUGGAUGUUCUAACAUAAAUUACAAGCUAGCUAGCUGAUUAAAAACAUCAAUAUAUUGCUUUGUGUUGUUUCUCUGAGUAUACCAUAUCUGUGUGCCCAUGAAACAUUGGUAUGCCUCCAUUGAGACUUGUUUUCUCUCCUUAUUUAUGUAAAAGAUAACACACAAUUUAGUGGCAUCAAGUAAAGUGACAGAACAUACGAUCUUUUGGUUUUCCAUUUCUGAGUUACUUCACUUAGAAGAAUGGCCUCCAGCUCCCUCCAAGUUGCCGCAAAAGUCAUGAUUUCAUCCCUUUUGAUGUCUGAGGAGUAGCCCAUGGUGUGUGUGCACCACAGUUCCUGUAUGCACUCAGCAGUCAAUGGGCACUUAGGUUGGUUCCAUAUCUUUGCAGUUGCAGAUUGUGCUGUAAACAUGCAUUUGCACGUGUCUUUGUGUCUUUUUUCAUGUGACUACUUCUUUUCCUUUGGGUAGAUACCCAGUAGUGGGAUUGCUGGAUGAAUGGGAGUUCUGCUUUUACUUCUUUAAGGACUCUCCAUGCUGUUUUCCAUGCUGGUUGUGCUAAUUUACAUUCCCACCAGUCGUGUAAAAGUGUUCCCUCUUCACAUUCAAGCUGAGUUGGUUUUCGGCUUUUUAAUGGUGGCAGUUCUUGCAGGAGUAAGGUUGUAUCUCACUGCGGUUUUCAUUUGCAUUUCCUUGAUUAGUGAUGUUAGUGCCCUUUAAAUAGAGACUUCAGUAGUUUCCUUGUUUCAUUCUCCAUAUGAGACCCCAACAAGACAGCUAAAUUUCUAUUUAUUUUAAUUUUGACAUGAAUGCUCCCUCUUGCCCAGGCUGGAGUGCAGUGGCACGAUCUUUGCUCACUGCAACCUCUGCCUUCUGAGUUCAAGCGGUUCUCCCGUCUCAGCCUCCCGAGUAGUUGGGACUACAGGUGCCUGCCACCAUGCCCAGCUAAUUGUUCUAUUUUUAGUAGAGACAGGGUUUCACCAUAUUGGUCAGGCUGGUCUCCAACUCCUGAUGUCAGGUGAUCCACCCACCUCAGCCUCCCAAGGUGCUGGGAAUACAGGCAUGAGCCACUGCUCCCAGCCGAGCUAACAACAAGACAUCUAUCGAUGAACCCUCACCAGACACCAAAUUUUUUGGUGAGUUGAUGUGAAAUUCCCAGCCUCCAGAACUCUAAUAAUGUCUAUUUAUAACUCACCCAGUUUAUGACAUUUAGUUACAGCAGCCUGAAUGGGCUAAAACGGUAUGUGUGUAAUUACCUUCUUAGCACUGCGUUUGCUCGAAUCUGUAAGUUUUGGUAUGUUAUGUUUUUUAUUUCUUUUAUCUCAAGAUAAUUUCUGACUUUUCUUGUGAUUUCUUUUUUGAUACAUUGGCUAGUUAAGAGUAUGGGGUUUCGUUUUUCUUUUCUUUUUUUCUAUUGAGACAGGGUCUCGCUCUGUCACCCAGGCUGGAUGGCAGUGGUGCAAUCUCUGCUCACUGCAGCCUCCCUCUGACUUCCAGGUUCAAGUGACUUUCAUGCUUUAGCCUCCCAAGUAGCUGUGAUUACAGGUG